UACGUAGGGGGCAAGCGUUGUCCGGAUUUAUUGGGCGUAAAGAGCGUGUAGGCGGCUUUACAGGUCCGUUGUGAAAACUCGAGGCUCAACCUCGAGACGCCGGUGGAAACCGUAAGGCUAGAGUCCGGAAGAGGAGAGUGGAAUUCCUGGUGUAGCGGUGAAAUGCGCAGAUAUCAGGAGGAACACCGGUGGCGAAGGCGGCCUUCUGGACAGUGACUGACGCUGAGACGCGAAAGCGUGGGGAGCGAACAGG
rnacentral:rRNA from 1 species